UGCCAGCAGCCGCGAUAAUACGAAAGGGGCUAGCGUUAUUCGGAAUUAUUGGGCGUAAAGGGCGCGCAGGCGGUCUUGUCCGUCAGGUGUGAAAGCUCGGGGCUCAACCCCGGAUGGUCACUUGAAACAGCAAGACUUGAGUACGGGAGAGGAGAGAGGAAUUCCUGGUGUAGAGGUGAAAUUCGUAGAUAUCAGGAGGAACACCGAUGGCGAAGGCAUCUCUCUGGACCGAUACUGACGCUGAGGCGCGAAGGCGUGGGUAGCGAACGGGAUUAGAUA
rnacentral:rRNA from 1 species